ACCCACACCAAGCCCGCCAGGGAAUUACAAGCCCAAGCUUAAAACCCAAAGGACUUGACGGUGUCCCACCCUUCUAGAGGAGCCUGUUCUAUAAUCGAUUCUCCCCGAUCUACCUCACCGUCUCUUGAAUAUCCAGUCUGUAUACCUCCGUCGCAAGCUUACCAUGUGAACGCACACAGUGAGCCUAAAGAUUCACCACCUACACGUCAGGUCAAGGUGCAGCCCACGGAACGGAAAGAAAUGGGCUACAAUCUCUACCAUAGAACAAACGGAAAACUGCAUGAAACACAGUUACUGAAGGCGGAUUUAGUAGUAAAAAGAAAAUAGAGAGUUCUUUUUAACUAGGCACUGGGACGCGUACACACCGCCCGUCACCCUCUUCAAACAGAAGACUUAAUGUCACUAACACCAUAUAAUUAUAUAGAAGAGGCAAGUCGUAACAUGGUAAGUGUACUGGAAAGUGCACUUGGAAUAAACAAAAUGUAACUUAAUAAAAGUACCCUGCUUACACCAAGUCUAUGUCUGUGAAACCCCGACCAUUUUGAGCCUAAAUCUCAGCCCUAUUAAAACCCCAAUGAAUUUUCUUUUAUUUCUCCAACCCACCCCUAAAACAUUCUUUCAACCAAGUAAAGGCGAUUAAAAAGUUACUAGGAGCCCCAACACCAGUACCGCA
rnacentral:rRNA from 1 species